rnacentral:rRNA from 1 species
CCUUGAGAGUCCUGAAGGAACGUUGAAGAUGACGACGUUGAUAGGCCGGGUGUGUAAGCGCAGCGAUGCGUUGAGCUAACCGGUACUAAUGAACCGUGAGGCUUAACCUUACAACGCCGAAGCUGUU